AUUGAACGCUGGCGGCAGGCCUAACACAUGCAAGUCGAACGAGUGGCGGACGGGUGAGUAAUGUCUGGGAAUCUGCCUGAUGGAGGGGGAUCACUACUGGAAACGGUAGCUAAUACCGCCUUGCAUCGGAUGUGCCCAGUUGGGAUUAGCUAGGGGGUGGGGGAACGGCUGACCAAGGCGACGAUCCCUAGCUGGGCUGAGAGGAUGACCAGCCACACUGGAACUGAGACACGGUCCAGACUCCUACGGGAGGCAGCAGUGGGGAAUAUUGCACAAUGGGCGCAAGCCUGAUGCAGCCAUGCCGCGUGUAUGAAGAAGGCCUUCGGGUUGUAAAGUACUUUCAGCGGGGAGGCGUUACCCGCAGAAGAAGCACCGGCUAACUCCGUGCCAGCAGCCGCGGUAAUUC
rnacentral:rRNA from 1 species